rnacentral:rRNA from 1 species
UUUGCCUACGGGAGGCAGCAGUAGGGAAUAUUGCUCAAUGGGGGAAACCCUGAAGCAGCGACGCCGCGUGGGUGAAGAAGCGCCUCGGCGCGUAAAGCCCUGUCAGCAGGGAAGAAAAUGACGGUACCUGAAGAAGAAGCCCCGGCUAACUACGUGCCAGCAGCCGCGGUAAUACGUAGGGGGCAAGCGUUAUCCGGAUUUACUGGGUGUAAAGGGGGCGCAGACGGCGAUGCAAGCCAGGAGUGAAAGCCCGGGACCCAACCCCGGGACUGCUCUUGGAACUGCGUGGCUGGAGGGCAGGAGGG